UACGGAAGGCCUCCACGAAGUAAAGC
rnacentral:piRNA from 1 species